rnacentral:rRNA from 1 species
GACAGAGGUGCCAAGCGUUAGGCGGAAUCACUGGGCUUAAAGCGCGUGUAGGCGGCCCGCUAAGUCUGAUGUGAAAGCCCGAGGCUCACCCUCGGAAGUGCAUUGGAAACUGGCGGACUGGAGUCCCGGAGAGGAGGGUGGAAUUCCUGGUGUAGCGGUGAAAUGCGUAGAUAUCAGGAGGAACACCGGUGGCGAAGGCGGCCCUCUGGACGGUGACUGACGCUGAGACGCGAAAGCGUGGGGAGCAAACAGG